UACGGAGGGUGCAAGCGUUAUCCGGAUUCACUGGGUUUAAAGGGAGCGCAGGCGGAUUGGUAAGUCAGUGGUGAAAGGCUUAAGCUUAACUUGGGAACUGCCAUUGAUACUAUCAGUCUUGAAUAUUGUUGAGGUUUGCGGAAUGGGUCAUGUAGCGGUGAAAUGCGUAGAUAUGAGGAGGAACACCUAUGGCGAAGGCAGCAGGCUAAACAAAGAUUGACGCUGAGGCUCGAAAGCGUGGGGAUCAAACAGG
rnacentral:rRNA from 1 species